UAAUUAUACUCUUAUUUCCAAGGUUCUGAAAGAACAGGUUAAGACAUCCACGAAGGCGGUUGACACCGAAAUUUAUACACGCACUCAGUACAGAUUGUGUGUGAAAUCAACUUGAAGAAAAUGUUUUUUAGAAAAAUUCGGAAUUUUGUUUUUGUUAAGUUGCAUUUUUCAUAUAAACUUCGUAAGCCGUUGACGUAAUUG